CCUGGGAACUGCGUUNUGAACUGGGUGACUAGAGUGUGUCAGAGGGAGGUAGAAUUCCACGUGUAGCAGUGAAAUGCGUAGAGAUGUGGAGGAAUACCGAUGGCGAAGGCAGCCUCCUGGGAUAACACUGACGUUCAUGCCCGAAAGCGUGGGUAGCAAACAGGAUUAGAUACCCUGGUAGUNCACGCCCUAAACGAUGUCGAUUAGCUGUUGGGCAGCAUGACUGCUUAGUAGCGAAGCUAACGCGUGAAAUCGACCGCCUGGGGAGUACGGUCGCAAGAUUAAAACUCAAAGGAAUUGACGGGGACCCGCACAAGCGGUGGAUGAUGUGGAUUAAUUCGAUGCAACGCGAAGANCCUUACCUGGUCUUGACAUGUACGGAACCCUCCAGAGACGGAGGAGUGCCUUCGGGAGCCGUAACACAGGUGCUGCAUGGCUGUCGUCAGCUCGUGUCGUGAGAUGUUGGGUUAAGUCCCGCAACGAGCGCAACCCUUGUCAUUAGUUGCCAUCAUUAAGUUGGGCACUCUAAUGAGACUGCCGGUGACAAGCCGGAGGAAGGUGGGGAUGACGUCAAGUCCUCAUGGCCCUUAUGACCAGGGCUUCACACGUCAUACAAUGGUCGGUACAGAGGGUAGCCAAGCCGCGAGGCGGAGCCAAUCUCACAAAACCGAUCGUAGUCCGGAUUGCACUCUGCAACUCGAGUGCAUGAAGUCGGAAUCGCUAGUAAUCGCAGGUCAGCAUACUGCGGUGAAUAGGUUCCCGGGUCUUGUACACANCGCCCGUCACACCAUGGGAGUGGGGGAUACCAGA
rnacentral:rRNA from 1 species